rnacentral:misc_RNA from 1 species
CGAGCGUCAUUACAACCCUCAAGCUCUGCUUGGUAUUAGGCUUUACCUGCUACAGGUAGGCCGCAAAAUCAGUGGCGGUGCCAUUCGGCUUCAAGCGUAGUAAUUCUUCUCGCUCAGGAGUAUCGGUUGCGUACCUGCUAUAAAACCCCAAUUUAUCAAAGGUUGACCUCGGAUCAGGUAGGGAUACCCGCUGAACUUAA